rnacentral:lncRNA from 1 species
UCAGUGAGCAAACCGAUCUUUAAUUUGUUGGCCUGGAAGGCUCGCUUGCUCUGUGGGCAAGGACCAGUUAUUUACACAGAAUCAUUGUACAGUAUUUACAGGAAGAGGCCAGACACAGCAUCCGUGUGGAUAGUUAAAGAAAGGGCAAGAACCACGUGGGGAAGGAAACUCUAAUAUCAAAGUAAACGCAGAAACUGAAAAGUGUGGAAGACCAGAGGAGCGUCUGUCUGAAUCAGAAGACAGUCUGCUGCGGCAGACCCAAGGAAGAAGCCUCAAGUAGCCUGCAGAGGUGUGGGGAAGGGUGUGCUGGGCAUGAAAUAAAGCCUUGAAAAGUAUGCAGUAUGGAAGAGAAAAAAUAUGCUACCUGCUGUUUCAGAGAAAAGAAUACAAUUAGCACUUUAUCAUCCAUAACUUAUGCUCCCCCAUCAAAGAGCAAUCCCCACUUCUUUUAAAAGUAUCUGGACAAGAGACUAAGAAAGAGAAUUCUGUCUCAAGGUAACAAACUUUUAACUAGACUCAAGACAUCUAGAUAAAGGGAAGACAGCAAAGAGGUUCUGGCAAUGGAACUGAAGGCCAACCGCAGAGGUGCGCUGGAGUCUUCCCAUGGGCAUCGCCUUCCUGACCUGUCUUUGGCAGGUUCUUCCCCUCAUCCCUAAGUGUCUGGAUUUUAACUUCAGACAAGGAGUUCAUUGGAACGAGGCUGGCACACGGGGGACAGGCUCAGCUCCCAUCUCAUCAAUUUGGGUUCCC